rnacentral:lncRNA from 1 species
GAAAACCCCGCUACAGAUACUCUACAAAUAGAAGAGCCUAUAGAGUCUUUAAUUCCAUAACCAAAGUUAUAAUGGAAUCCAUAAAUAUGGUAGUGGAUGACAAUAUCUCAGGAAAGGGGACGAAUGUUGAAUCAGAUGUUGAGACAUUAUCUCAACAUAUCAACUCAACUGAAAAUGAAGAAGUGAUUGAAUCAGAUAGUGCAU